rnacentral:rRNA from 1 species
UACGUAGGGACCGAGCGUUGUCCGGAAUCAUUGGGCGUAAAGAGCGUGUAGGCGGCCUUUUAAGUCCUGCGUGAAAUCCUGCGGCUCAACCGCAGACGGUCGUGGGAAACUGGAAGGCUAGAGUGCGGGAGAGGAGAGUGGAAUUCCCGGUGUAGCGGUGAAAUGCGCAGAUAUCGGGAAGAACACCCGUGGCGAAGGCGGCUCUCUGGAACGCAACUGACGCUGAGGAGCGAAAGCGUGGGGAGUGAACAGG